ACCAUCCGUCAUUUGUUUUGUAUGAAUAUUCGAAUUGCAAAUCCUGCUGAUAGUAGAGGCAAGUGGAUCUUUUGUUGCAUUCAAGUGAUCAAUUAGCUUUGCAUUAGGCCUGUUAUUAUUUUUCUGAAAAAUGCUAUAACAAUUAUUAAAUUAUGGAACAGUUGGCUCAUAGCAGUUAAAUACGUUUUCUGCACCAUGAGCAUGACUGGGAACAUGGAGCCUUGGUUUUUGGCAAUGCAGGUCUUAGAAUUCAGAUAGUUGACUUCCGUCAUUUGAUUUGUCAGACUAUUUUUGGAAUGCAAGUCCUGCUCAUAGUAAAGAUAACUUGAUCUUUGUUGCAUUCAGUCAGCAAUCAAUUAUUUUUGCAGUAGGCCUGUUAUUGUUUUGCUGAAAAUUGCUAUAACACAGUUUUUUGAAAUCUGAAGGUGUUCGCUUGGUAGCAAGUUUUGGGUCUUUUUUCAGGAUGGUACAAACGUGUAGUGGUCCUGGUGAUAUAGCUAUACACUGAUAACACCUACCUUUGUCAGCCAGUUUUUUUAAUUGAUUAAGAUAGUUUGAUGGUGCAAUAUUUAAUUUGUUUGUUUAUCUGACAAACAUUCAUUUGCAGAUUUCCUUGUCCAUCGCCCUUUUUUCAUGCUAGCUAGACACACUACUUUUUAGAUUAUACAGUGAGUUCAGCUGUGUCCAUGAUUGCCAAAUAAAUUUAUUUCUUGUGUAAUACAAACUAGUUUUAUCUCUCUUAGAUAUGAAGAUAGUUGAACUGGGCAAGUGCAAUAGGUAUAAUUUGAGCUUAUUAACUUCUAAUUUAUGCUAGCAUCAUGUGAAAAAGUCUCACCUAUGGUUUAUUUGUUUUCUGCUGUUGAAGUGGACUUUUGGAUGGUACAUGGGUUUUGUUUUUGGACAUAUAUAGUAGUUUUGACAACGGAGGUACGAUGGACAGUUUACUAAGAUUGCUUGCUGAAUGCUGUAAAUAACAGAAAAUGGUCCCGAUAAUCUGGCACAUACAGCUGUACAUGAUUUUAUAGCAUUACACAUACUGAAAUCACUCAUUUUCUUUAUUGGUGUGGUUGCGAAGUAAAUAUCCACUGUCCCUAACACAUACACAGGUCUAUGUGCAGUAAAAUCACCAACAUGCUUAUGUUGACAACUCUAAUAUGGUAUGGAGCUUGCAUCCGAAUGGAGAGCAAUUUUCUAGGGGUCAGAAGAUUCCAAUCAGAAAAUGGGCACCUUGUAGAGCGCCGACAAGCAAAAAAAUAAUACUGCUAUUUGUUUUGCCACCGAGCUUGCUCUGAAACCUUGCAGGUACAAAUGUUUGGCCCUUGAAUUGUUUGCAAAAAAGUGCACUGUGACUACGGAUAACAUGUUGGGAGAUAUUGUGGUUAUGUCUGCCCAGUUUGCUCAAAUUUUUAUCAGAAUAUGCACUCUCUGCUGGGCCUUUUGUGGAAUUGUUAGAAGAGCUGUGGGCAAACUAUUUUUGUAGUCCUGGUUCUUUUCAGACAAUAGAAUAACAGUAUAUUCCAUACUGUAAUUGUAAUUAGCUCAUUUUGCAUACCCUCCAUUCUUUUAGAUACAAAUCUAGAGGAUUUUAAAAUUCCUCUGUUUAUUUGUCAUCAGAUGAUAAAAGAGUUCUCUAACUUAUGGUUAAGUUUUCGAGAUGUUCAACUCUUUCAUUCUCUUGUGAUAAGCAUCAAAAUUACAACGUUGAUGUAAUUCCUUUGUUGUUCAGUUUACAGGGUCUGAAUAAGAAGCAUCCCAACUUUCAUAAAUGGUUUGUAUUCAUCAUCAAUUCCUGUCAAGCAAAUAUCUACUGUUGCCAACAUAGACAAGUUUGUAUGCAUUAACAUCUCCUACAGGUGUAUGUUGCCAUCUCUGAUAUGGAGUGGAGUUUGGAUCUGAUUCGACUGGCAUGUUCAGAAAGUUCUAAUCAGAAAACGAGCACUUUGAAGAGCCGGAGCAGCGCACAGUGGCGCUGUUUGUGCUGGCACAGAGCACCCUCUGAAGCUUGCAGCUACUGAUGUUUGAAUUACUUUUAGAAAAGAGCAUAUUGUUUGGCAUAUGAAUCGUAUAUCAGGUUGACUGUUGCAAAAUGUGCUACACUUGUGAGGGCUGCUCAGUUAGCUCAAUUUGGGAUCAGUCUCUGCGUUCUGUGCUGGCCCCUUUUGGGAAUCUCGGAAGACAAAGUUGGUACAGAAAGUCAGAAUCUGUUCUAAUCACUGUACUUGUUCUUGUCACAGUUCGUCAAUAGAUUAAGUGUACAUACAUACUGUGAACUGUAAUUAUUUCCUUGUAUAUAUCCUCUUGAUAAAGGAACAGUAGAAUAAUUGUCAGAUGAUAACUGUGUUACUUUUAUUGUUAGUGUGCCAAUUAAUUUUCCAUGUCUGCAACCUUUUCAGUUUUCAUGUGAUGGGCAUCAACUCCUUUAGAAAAGAGUUUUCAGCAGCCUCCUGCAUUUUCAUGGGGUCCAUUCAAGUAUUUUUCUAUGUACGCGCACGGUGGCACGACCCGUCACAGGAGGUUGCGCCGGGCUGCACGCGUUCGACUGGCAGGGCAGUCAGUGGCAGGUGGACCCAGGCAUUCCGUUGACCGCGUUUAUCACCUGUGGUCAACGCUCGCACGGACUCGGGGGAAGCGGACCGUCACUGCGCGCUUCCUCAGGCACCUCCCUCUCAAGUCUCAGUUCUGCCACCUCCCCACGGCCCUCCGCCGCCGCCCUCCUCGCCUCCGGCGUCCAGCCGCCGCCACCGCGCGCUCGAUCCCGUCCUCCCUCACCGCGGUCAAUCAUGGAGCAGGAGCACAGCGCAAGAUGUCCAGCUCAUGGCUUCUAGCAGGCAAUUCUUGUCUUUGCCAAAGGACAUUGCUUCAUACACUGAUCAGAACAGCUGAACAGGUCAAUCACUGCCUCAAACUUCAGGAAGCAACAUAUUCAAUGCUGAGGGAACCGUCAUCCUGCAAGGUGUUGCUGAAUGCAAUUCGUCACGGAAUCAUCCAUCAAAGUCGCAUGGUAGCAAUUCCCCUCUCAGUGUCAACAAUUGUACGAUCAUGCAUAUUGUUCUCUGUUUUUAUCCGCAGUACACCAUUCUAGUGCCACCACGCCAGUACGCCACUGAUAAGGGCCUGCAUAAAGGAGAUUCUUUGCAAGACAGUGGUAUCAACUCUGAGAUUUAGGCCAUUUGAUCAAGUACAAAGAUGCAUGCUUCUGUGUUAGCUACACGUUUGAAGGCUAAGAGAUGCAAUCUUUCUUUGAACAAAAUGUGGCUCUGGAAAUAUCAUGCCUCUUUCAGCGAAAACGUUGUGCGUCUUGAAAGAACAAAGUAAAGAAAGAAGCAUCCAAAUCAACACAGCUCAUCAAAAGAGGAUUCUCUGAAGGUGAAGAUGAAAGGAUAAUAGAGUCCAUCUCUUAGACCUCAUCGCACAGGAGCCGCGAAUGCUAACAUUCUUGAUGAAUGCCUCUUGCAAAGUUGAAGAGUCAAGAACUAAGCAAACACCAAAAAGAAUCAAAGGAUUCUGGAGCAAUGGAGAUUGCUCUACAGAACACUAGCUUUUUCUCUCUCCUUCCUUUCUUUUCCAGGUGGGAACUAUCAAGGCAGAUAUAAGGGAUAAGAAUAUCUCUAUCCAAAUAUGCAAUCUUCCAUGCUUGUGCUGGAUGUUUGCGUCAUGUACAAAAACUAAGUCAGGAAAAAACUAGAGAAAAAAAUAUCAGAUAAUAUAUAUCUCACUUCCUUAAGAUGCCUGGAGCAUCAUACAGGGAAAGAUGCAGCAUAUGAAAAGCAAAGAUCGCAGCGUCGGAUCGUGGCAUCGCAAUGCCGCACAUCUGAUAAGGUCAGGCUGGUUUACAAAGCAGCGGCAGCUCAAUCUACUGAGAAAAGCCGAGGGCAAGUUGGCCAGAUUCCAUGCCACAGAUAAGGCCGGUCAGUGAGGCGGUGAGGGCCAGCCGGCUAUUAUGGAUGCUAUUCUGAAACCGGCUGAGGGGAUUGAUCCCUGGUUCAUUCGAAACCGGUUCAAUCAGCCAGUUGGAAUUGGUUCCAUGUGUUGUAUGACAAAGUAGUGGCCGUACCAUAUGGGUAUUGCCGGUCGUUGUCGGCACCAUUCUUGCUACGACAGACGCAACUUCCGAAUGGGUGUGCAUGGAGCAAUGGCGUCUGUGGUAUUUUUCAGGCUGAGGUAGGCACUGCAUGCCUUAACGGAUGGAGAAUGCAGGAACUUCACUAUACAAAUUUAAUGUGCCAAUAUGAAUUCUAGUGUACGCAAGGCUGUGUGCAACCAUAUAUCUGUAUACUAUAUGCUGAUUAAUCUAGAGACAAAGUUUCAAAUGUAAGUUCCGUUUCAAACAGUGAAAAUUUCUUGAAAAAUCCUAAUAUUCCAAA